rnacentral:rRNA from 1 species
CAGGCUGCAACUCGCCUGCAUGAAGUCGGAAUUGCUAGUAAUCGCGGAUCGGCAUGCCGCGGUGAAUACGUUCCCGGGCCUUGUACACACCGCCCGUCACACCAUGGGAGUCGGGAACGCCCGAAGUCAGUGGCCCAACCGGAGGGGGGAGCUGCCGAAGGCAGGCCCGGUGACUGGGGUGAAGUCGUAACAAGGUAGC